AAACACGGGGAGUCCGCAGACGGGCUGAGAGGGGACUAAGCGUUCCGACCCAAUGAACCUGAUUUGGAUAAUGCCAACGUAGGAAUGAAUA
rnacentral:ncRNA from 1 species